AGUCGAACGAACUCUGGUAUUGAUUGGUGCUUGCAUCAUGAUUUACAUUUGAGUGAGUGGCGAACUGGUGAGUAACACGUGGGAAACCUGCCCAGAAGCGGGGGAUAACACCUGGAAACAGAUGCUAAUACCGCAUAACAGCUUGGACCGCAUGGUCCGAGUUUGAAAGAUGGCUUCGGCUAUCACUUUUGGAUGGUCCCGCGGCGUAUUAGCUAGAUGGUGAGGUAACGGCUCACCAUGGCAAUGAUACGUAGCCGACCUGAGAGGGUAAUCGGCCACAUUGGGACUGAGACACGGCCCAAACUCCUACGGGAGGCAGCAGUAGGGAAUCUUCCACAAUGGACGAAAGUCUGAUGGAGCAACGCCGCGUGAGUGAAGAAGGGUUUCGGCUCGUAAAACUCUGUUGUUAAAGAAGAACAUAUCUGAGAGUAACUGUUCAGGUAUUGACGGUAUUUAACCAGAAAGCCACGGCUAACUACGUGCCAGCAGCCGCGGUAAUACGUAGGUGGCAAGCGUUGUCCGGAUUUAUUGGGCGUAAAGCGAGCGCAGGCGGUUUUUUAAGUCUGAUGUGAAAGCCUUCGGCUCAACCGAAGAAGUGCAUCGGAAACUGGGAAACUUGAGUGCAGAAGAGGACAGUGGAACUCCAUGUGUAGCGGUGAAAUGCGUAGAUAUAUGGAAGAACACCAGUGGCGAAGGCGGCUGUCUGGUCUGUAACUGACGCUGAGGCUCGAAAGUAUGGGUAGCAAACAGGAUUAGAUACCCUGGUAGUCCAUACCGUAAACGAUGAAUGCUAAGUGUUGGAGGGUUUCCGCCCUUCAGUGCUGCAGCUAACGCAUUAAGCAUUCCGCCUGGGGAGUACGGCCGCAAGGCUGAAACUCAAAGGAAUUGACGGGGGCCCGCACAAGCGGUGGAGCAUGUGGUUUAAUUCGAAGCUACGCGAAGAACCUUACCAGGUCUUGACAUACUAUGCAAAUCUAAGAGAUUAGACGUUCCCUUCGGGGACAUGGAUACAGGUGGUGCAUGGUUGUCGUCAGCUCGUGUCGUGAGAUGUUGGGUUAAGUCCCGCAACGAGCGCAACCCUUAUUAUCAGUUGCCAGCAUUAAGUUGGGCACUCUGGUGAGACUGCCGGUGACAAACCGGAGGAAGGUGGGGAUGACGUCAAAUCAUCAUGCCCCUUAUGACCUGGGCUACACACGUGCUACAAUGGAUGGUACAACGAGUUGCGAACUCGCGAGAGUAAGCUAAUCUCUUAAAGCCAUUCUCAGUUCGGAUUGUAGGCUGCAACUCGCCUACAUGAAGUCGGAAUCGCUAGUAAUCGCGGAUCAGCAUGCCGCGGUGAAUACGUUCCCGGGCCUUGUACACACCGCCCGUCACACCAUGAGAGUUUGUAACACCCAAAGUCGGUGGGGUAACCUUUUAGGAACCAGCCGCCUA
rnacentral:rRNA from 1 species